rnacentral:piRNA from 1 species
UGCACACAGUUUUCAUCUGAUAUUGUACUG